CAGCAGCAGCCACGGGAAUACAGAGGGUGCAAGCGUUAAUCGGAAUUACUGGGCGUAAAGCGCGCGUAGGUGGUUUGUUAAGUUGGAUGUGAAAUCCCCGGGCUCAACCUGGGAACUGCAUCCAAAACUGGCAAGCUAGAGUAUGGUAGAGGGUGGUGGAAUUUCCUGUGUAGCGGUGAAAUGCGUAGAUAUAGGAAGGAACACCAGUGGCGAAGGCGACCACCUGGACUGAUACUGACACUGAGGUGCGAAAGCGUGGGGAGCAAACAGGAUUAGAUACCCCGGUAGUCCCUGUCUCUUAUAC
rnacentral:rRNA from 1 species